rnacentral:rRNA from 1 species
GAAGAAGGCCUUCGGGUUGUAAAGCUCUGAGGGGGAAAAAAGUCCUACUGUGAAUAGCGGUAGGAUCUGAUGGUUCCACCAGAGGAAGCACCGGCUAACUCCGAGCCAGCAGCCGCGGUAAUACGGAGGGUGCAAGCGUUGUUCGGAAUUACUGGGCGUAAAGCGGGUGUAGGCGGUUUGGCAAGUCAGGUGUGAAAGCCCGGGGCUCAACCCCGGAAGUGCACUUGAUACUGCCAUUCUUGAGUACGGGAGAGGAGAGUGGAAUUCCCGGUGUAGAGGUGAAAUUCGUAGAUAUCGGGAGGAACAC